UUCGGCGUGUGACUGCGUACCUUUUGUAUAAUGGGUCAGCGACUUAUAUUCUGUAGCAAGGUUAACCGAAUAGGGGAGCCGAAGGGAAACCGAGUCUUAACUGGGCGUUAAGUUGCAGGGUAUAGACCCGAAACCCGGUGAUCUAGCCAUGGGCAGGUUGAAGGUUGGGUAACACUAACUGGAGGACCGAACCGACUAAUGUUGAAAAAUUAGCGGAUGACUUGUGGCUGGGGGUGAAAGGCCAAUCAAACCGGGAGAUAGCUGGUUCUCCCCGAAAGCUAUUUAGGUAGCGCCUCGUGAAUUCAUCUCCGGGGGUAGAGCACUGUUUCGGCAAGGGGGUCAUCCCGACUUACCAACCCGAUGCAAACUGCGAAUACCGGAGAAUGUUAUCACGGGAGACACACGGCGGGUGCUAACGUCCGUCGUGAAGAGGGAAACAACCCAGACCGCCAGCUAAGGUCCCAAAGUCAUGGUUAAGUGGGAAACGAUGUGGGAAGGCCCAGACAGCCAGGAUGUUGGCUUAGAAGCAGCCAUCAUUUAAAGAAAGCGUAAUAGCUCACUGGUCGAGUCGGCCUGCGCGGAAGAUGUAACGGGGCUAAACCAUGCACCGAAGCUGCGGCAGCGACACUAUGUGUUGUUGGGUAGGGGAGCGUUCUGUAAGCCUGUGAAGGUGUGCUGUGAGGCAUGCUGGAGGUAUCAGAAGUGCGAAUGCUGACAUAAGUAACGAUAAAGCGGGUGAAAAGCCCGCUCGCCGGAAGACCAAGGGUUCCUGUCCAACGUUAAUCGGGGCAGGGUGAGUCGACCCCUAAGGCGAGGCCGAAAGGCGUAGUCGAUGGGAAACAGGUUAAUAUUCCUGUACUUGGUGUUACUGCGAAGGGGGGACGGAGAAGGCUAUGUUGGCCGGGCGACGGUUGUCCCGGUUUAAGCGUGUAGGCUGGUUUUCCAGGCAAAUCCGGAAAAUCAAGGCUGAGGCGUGAUGACGAGGCACUACGGUGCUGAAGCAACAAAUGCCCUGCUUCCAGGAAAAGCCUCUAAGCAUCAGGUAACAUUAAAUCGUACCCCAAACCGACACAGGUGGUCAGGUAGAGAAUACCAAGGCGCUUGAGAGAACUCGGGUGAAGGAACUAGGCAAAAUGGUGCCGUAACUUCGGGAGAAGGCACGCUGAUAUGUAGGUGAAGUCCCUCGCGGAUGGAGCUGAAAUCAGUCGAAGAUACCAGCUGGCUGCAACUGUUUAUUAAAAACACAGCACUGUGCAAACACGAAAGUGGACGUAUACGGUGUGACGCCUGCCCGGUGCCGGAAGGUUAAUUGAUGGGGUUAGCGGUAACGCGAAGCUCUUGAUCGAAGCCCCGGUAAACGGCGGCCGUAACUAUAACGGUCCUAAGGUAGCGAAAUUCCUUGUCGGGUAAGUUCCGACCUGCACGAAUGGCGUAAUGAUGGCCAGGCUGUCUCCACCCGAGACUCAGUGAAAUUGAACUCGCUGUGAAGAUGCAGUGUACCCGCGGCAAGACGGAAAGACCCCGUGAACCUUUACUAUAGCUUGACACUGAACAUUGAGCCUUGAUGUGUAGGAUAGGUGGGAGGCUUUGAAGUGUGGACGCCAGUCUGCAUGGAGCCGACCUUGAAAUACCACCCUUUAAUGUUU
rnacentral:rRNA from 1 species